CCUACGGGGGCAGCAGUGGGGAAUAUUGGACAAUGGGCGAAAGCCUGAUCCAGCCAUGCCGCGUGUGUGAAGAAGGCCUUCGGGUUGUAAAGCACUUUCAGUGGGGAAGAAAGCCUUGGGGCUAAUACCCUCGAGGAAGGACAUCACCCACAGAAGAAGCACCGGCUAACUCCGUGCCAGCAGCCGCGGUAAUACGGAGGGUGCGAGCGUUAAUCGGAAUUACUGGGCGUAAAGCGCGCGUAGGCGGUCUGAUAAGCCGGUUGUGAAAGCCCCGGGCUCAACCUGGGAACGGCAUCCGGAACUGUCAGGCUAGAGUGCAGGAGAGGAAGGUAGAAUUCCCGGUGUAGCAGUGAAAUGCGUAGAGAUCGGGAGGAAUACCAGUGGCGAAGGCGGCCUUCUGGACUGACACUGACGCUGAGGUGCGAAAGCGUGGGUAGCAAACAGGAUUAGAUACCCCUGUAGUC
rnacentral:rRNA from 1 species